CAAUAGCGUAUAUUUAAGUUGCUGCAGUUAAAAAGCUCGUAGUUGGAUUUCGGGUGGGAAUGGCCGGUCCGCCGUUUCGGUGUGCACUUGCUACGCCCACCUUGCUGCCGGGGACGUGCUCUUGAGUUCACGCUCGGGACACGGAGUCGGCGAGGUUACUUUGAGUAAAUUAGAGUGUUCAAAGCAGGCCUACGCUCUGAAUACAUUAGCAUGGAAUAACACGAUAAGACUCUGGCCUAUCUUGUUGGUCUGUAGGACCGGAGUAAUGAUUAAGAGGGACAGUCGGGGGCAUUCGUAUUUCAUUGUCAGAGGUGAAAUUCUUGGAUUUAUGAAAGACGAACUACUGCGAAAGCAUUUGCCAAGGAUGUUUUCAUUAA
rnacentral:rRNA from 1 species